UACGAAGGGGGCUAGCGUUGCUCGGAAUCACUGGGCGUAAAGGGUGCGUAGGCGGGUCUUUAAGUCAGGGGUGAAAUCCUGGAGCUCAACUCCAGAACUGCCUUUGAUACUGAAGAUCUUGAGUUCGGGAGAGGUGGGUGGAACUGCGAGUGUAGAGGUGAAAUUCGUAGAUAUUCGCAAGAACACCAGUGGCGAAGGCGGCUCACUGGCCCGAUACUGACGCUGAUGCACGAAAGCGUGGGGAGCAAACAGG
rnacentral:rRNA from 1 species